rnacentral:rRNA from 1 species
CCUACGGGUCGCACCAGUGAGGAAUAUUGCGCAAUGGGCGAAAGCCUGAACCAGCCAUGCCGCGUGAAGGAUGACGGCCCUACGGGUUGUAAACUUCUUUUAUUCGGGAAGAAACCCCUCUACGUGUAGAGGGCUGACGGUACCGUUUGAAUAAGCAUCGGCUAACUCCGUGCCAGCAGCCGCGGUAAUACGGAGGAUGCAAGCGUUAUCCGGAUUUAUUGGGUUUAAAGGGUGCGUAGGCGGAAAUUUAAGUCAGUGAUGAAAUCCUGCGGCUCAACCGUAGAACUGUUAUUGAUACUGAAUUUCUUGAAUGCAGUUGAGGUAGGCGGAAUGAGUAAUGUAGCGGUGAAAUGCUUAGAUAUUACUCAGAACACCGAUUGCGAGGCAGCUUGCUAAACUGUGAUUGACGCUGAGGCACGAAAGCGUGGGGAGCGAACAGGAUUAGAUACCCGUGUAGUC